CCGAAAUUUGGAAACUUUUUUCUUAGAAUAGAAGCAUAUUUUGAUAAAGAAAAUACAAUUAGAAGCCAAAAUUGAUAUGCUUUGAAUAACUUUAUUUGAAAAAAACUGUGUUACUCUAUUUCUAAUAUUAUGUCCUCAACAAUAUCACAGAAUUAAGUAGUGGAAAGAACACUGGACUUGGUGUCUGAAAAUAUAAGAUCAAUUUCAGGAUCUACCAGCUAAUAAUUAUGUGAACUUCCAAAUUAAGGUAACACCCUGAACUUCCUAACACUCUGUGAAAUAAAAAAAUAAAAAUACUAUAGGAUUGUGGAGAUUGUGUGAAAUCUAUAUGAAAGCACUUUGUGAACUGUGUGUCACAUAAUGUAAGUUGUAGAAAUUGUUUUCAUUACCAUUAUGAACAAGAAUAAGUAAUUGUAAGAUUAAACAUGAACAGCAGAUAUUUUCUAGAAUAUAAAACAUUUCAGGAAAACAAGGAAGAGUACUUAGUGACCUGAGUCAGUAAAAUUCAUCUAAAAUGCCUCAACUGUUGCUCAUCAUAUAAUACCUCAUUUAAAAUAAUUAAAAGUGAGAUCUAAAGUUAGUUUGCAUUGUCUGUAUUGAAUUAGCAUCGGUGAAAAGAACAAUGCAGUAGGAGUGGAAAUGAUCUUACUACAGACAAUUCUAUGCCGCUUAAAAAAUCAUUUCUUGACCCAGAUUCUGUGUGUCAGAUAUAGUAUCUCUAUAUUACUGGGAAAAAGCUUAGUUUUUCCAGAUAUUACUUUUUGUGGUUUAGUUUUCCUCAGAGUGAUAAAGUGCUGGUUGGCCUUAUCUAGCUUUAGGUUUGUACUUUAUUAAGAGACCCUGAUGCUUUAAUGGCACAUAAGUUGUAUUUCCUGGGAUUCUUCUUGUCAGGAGCUUAAUGCUGAAAGCAGAUGACAUGUAAACUGCCCCUACAACACCCAUUACACUCAAAGUGAUAAAUUUGUUUUUAAAUUUGUAUAUAAAGUGAUAAUAAAAUAAAUAGAAUUGUCAAAUAAAAUAGUCAAUCAUGAGUGGGUACUACAUAGAAUCACUGCUCCUCAUUUUGGUUUUAAAAAUCUAACUGAGGCUUUAAAGUUGCAGAGAAAAUCCUAGAGGCCACAGUAUUUUAAAUUAAACCUAUCAUUUACAAUGAAGGAAUGAGCCAUACUUAAUUUUUAAUGUUCCAACAUUUUUUGACUUUCCAUUUUUAAGCUGUACAAUUUUAUGCAAGCCGCUUUUACCCUAUGAGUCUUAAUUGCUUUUCUUUAAUAUAUAAAGAGGUUGAAAUAUGUUAUUUUUAAUAAUCCUGGAAGUCUCAAAAAUGCAUUUGAUUAUUUAAAAUAAUGGUUUACUAUAAAAUCCCUGGAAGAUAACCUAGGAAAUACCAUUCUGGAUGUGGGACCUGGCAAAGAAGUCAUGACAAAGAUGCCAAAAGCAAUUGCAACAAAACUGAAAAUUGACAAAUGGUACCUAAUUAUACUAAAGAGCUUCUGCACAGCAAAAGAAACUGUCAACAGAGUAAACAGACAACCUACAGAAGGGGAGAAAAUUUUGACAAACUAUGUAUUUGACAAAGGUUUAAAAUUCAGAAUCUCUAAGGAGCUUCAACAAAUUUACAAGAAAGAAAACAGCCACAUUAAAAAGUGGGCAAAGGACAUAAGCAGACACUUUUCAAAAGAAGACAUAUCAGCAGCUGACAGUCAUAUGAAAAAAAAAUCAAUGUCACUGAUAAUUACAGAAAUACCAAUCAAAAGAACAAUGAAAUACCAUCUCAUACCAGCCAGAAUGAAUAUCACUAAAAAGGGAAAACAAUAACAGACGCUGGAAAGGCUGUGAAAAAGGGAAGACUUAUGCAGUGCUCGUGGGGAUAAAACCUAGUUCAGCCAUGGUGGAAGGCAGUUUGGUGAUUUCUCAAAGAACUUAAAACAUUGCCAUUCAACCCUGCAAUACUAUUACUAGCUAUAUGCCCAAUGGAAUAUAAAUCAUUCUAUCAUAAAGACACAUGCAUGUGUAUGUUCAAUGCAGCAUUAUUCACAAUACCAAAGACAUGGAAUCAACCUACCUGCCCAUCAAUGGUAAAUAGAAUGAAGAAGAUGUGGUGCACAGAUACCAUGGAAUACUAUGCAGCCAU